AUUUUCCGGUUGAUCCUGCCGGACCCGACUGCUAUCGGAUUGAGACUAAGCCAUGCGAGUCAACCCGCAAGGGUGGCGGACGGCUCAGUAACACGUAGUCAACCUGCCCUGAGGACGUGGAUAUCCACGGGAAACUGUGGUUAAACCGCGAUAGGUCAUCGCUUCUGGAACGGGCGAUGGCUCAAAUCUACAUGGCCUCAGGAUGGGACUGCGGCCGAUCAGGUUGUUGGCGGGGUAAUGGCCCACCAAGCCUAUAACCGGUACGGGCUCUGAGAGGAGGAGCCCGGAGAUGGGCACUGAGACAAGGGCCCAGGUCCUAUGGGGCGCAGCAGGCGCGAAACCUUCGCAAUAGGCGAAAGCCUGACGAGGUUAAUCCGAGUGGUUCCUGCUAAAGGAACCUUUUGCCAGCUGUAAAAAGGCUGGUGAAUAAGGGGUGGGCAAGCCUGGUGUCAGCCGCCGCGGUAAUACCAGCACCCCGAGUGGUCGGGAUGAUUAUUGGGCCUAAAGCAUCCGUAGCCGGUUCUGCAAGUCUCCCGUUAAAUCCACCUGCUCAACAGUUGGGCUGCGGGAGAUACUGUAGGACUAGGAGGCGGGAGAGGCGAGGGGUAUUCCUUGGGUAGGGGUAAAAUCCUUUGAUCCAUGGAGGACCACCAGUGGCGAAGGCGCCUCGCCAGAACGCGCUCGACGGUGAGGGAUGAAAGCUGGGGGAGCAAACCGGAUUAGAUACCCGGGUAGUCCCAGCUGUAAACGAUGCAGGCUCGGUGAUGGACUGGCCUCGAGCCAGUCCAGUGCCGCAGGGAAGCCGUUAAGCCUGCCGCCUGGGGAGUACGGUCGCAAGACUGAAACUUAAAGGAAUUUGGCGGGGGAGCACCACAAGGGGUGAAGCCUGCGGUUCAAUUGGAUUCAACGCCGGA
rnacentral:rRNA from 1 species